rnacentral:piRNA from 1 species
UGGUGUCUGGAUUAACUGAAAACUGGGUAUU